rnacentral:rRNA from 1 species
CAGGUAGGACUACCCGCUGAGAUAA